UAGUUGGUGGGGUAAAGGCCUACCAAGGCGACGAUCAGUAGCGGGUCUGAGAGGAUGAUCCGCCACACUGGAACUGAGACACGGUCCAGACUCCUACGGGAGGCAGCAGUGGGGAAUUUUGGACAAUGGGGGCAACCCUGAUCCAGCCAUUCCGCGUGAGUGAAGAAGGCCUUCGGGUUGUAAAGCUCUUUCAGCUGGAACGAAACGGUACGCUCUAAUAUAGCGUGCUAAUGACGGUACCAGCAGAAGAAGCACCGGCUAACUACGUGCCAGCAGCCGCGGUAAUACGUAGGGUGCGAGCGUUAAUCGGAAUUACUGGGCGUAAAGCGUGCGCAGGCGGAUUGUUAAGCAAGACGUGAAAUCCCCGGGCUUAACCUGGGAAUGGCGUUUUGAACUGGCAGUCUAGAGUGUGUCAGAGGGGGGUAGAAUUCCACGUGUAGCAGUGAAAUGCGUAGAGAUGUGGAGGAAUACCAAUGGCGAAGGCAGCCCCCUGGGAUAACACUGACGCUCAUGUACGAAAGCGUGGGUAGCAAACAGGAUUAGAUACCCUGGUAGUCCACGCCCUAAACGAUGUCAACUGGUUGUUGGGGGAGUGAAAUCCCUUAGUAACGAAGCUAACGCGUGAAGUUGACCGCCUGGGGAGUACGGUCGCAAGAUUAAAACUCAAAGGAAUUGACGGGGACCCGCACAAGCGGUGGAUGAUGUGGAUUAAUUCGAUGCAACGCGAAAAACCUUACCUACCCUUGACAUGUCCAGAAUCCUGCAGAGAUGCGGGAGUGCCCGAAAGGGAAUUGGAACACAGGUGCUGCAUGGCUGUCGUCAGCUCGUGUCGUGAGAUGUUGGGUUAAGUCCCGCAACGAGCGCAACCCUUAUCAUUAGUUGCUACGCAAGGGCACUCUAAUGAGACUGCCGG
rnacentral:rRNA from 1 species